GCUUAAUCAGAAAAAAAGGAAAGAUAUCAUAGCUAAGAAAGAGAAAAAAAUGAAUGGAAUACAGGAAGCUCCUUCACUUCUGAAUUAGUCGUGAAGGUAGUCACAAUCUGGAGUUCAGUUUUUUUGUAUCAGGCACUUUUUCCUUAGUGAAUUUUAUUGGGUUAAAACAAAUCACAGUAUCAAAGAGACACAAAAUAAAAUGUGGGUAAAUCAACCAUCAAGGAAACAAUUAGGAAGCUCAAUUGCAGGGGUCCAGAUGAAGACAAGAGAGACAGAUGAAGAUAGACAGCUUAGACUAGGAUAGCAAACGUGAAAAUGAGGAGGAAUAGAUGGAUUUGGACUAUAUUUUGGAAGUCUACUAAAGCCUGGAGAUGAAAUACCUGAUCCUUAUUGCUGUUUCCAGAUAUUUCACCCUCUCACAUUCCUAAAAACCUAUAGCUUUUACUCUCAGGUCACUAGAAUAUACCACCUACUAUCUCUUGUUGCAUUGUCAAUUUAUCAGCUCCCCCAAAGUCACUCCUGCUUUCUCAAAAAUACUGGUUUCUGGCUCACUGUCUGUCCAACUCCAUUCCUGUCUUAAUUCUUGGCUUUUUCAGUGUAUAUGUAAAUGGUCCUUCCAACACCCUCACCUCUCUGUUCCUUCAACUCAUAUCCAGUGAUCGUGUCCUAUACUCCUCAGCUAUUCACUUCCAUGAUCAUAUAACUUUGCCAUUGUGAAACCCUCCUUAAUCUCAUUCUUUGACCUCUACCUCUUAUCUUUCCACUCCCUCUAAUACUGUGACUCCAGCAAUCCUUCAACUACAUCAGGAUUGGAUUUAGUGAAGUGGAGGCCAUUGGUGAG
rnacentral:lncRNA from 1 species